rfam:Sorghum bicolor cultivar BTx623 chromosome 6, whole genome shotgun sequence.
GUUGUUGGAUCCACUUCAAUUUAUGUGUGUUGGUAUGGAUUGGGGUGGAAUUUAGUUCAAAUUCCAUUUCAAUCCACCACAACACAUGUGGAUUGAUGUGAAUCCGACC